GCAUCGGUGGAUCAGUGGUAGAAUGCUCGCCUGCCACGAGGGCGGGCCGGUUUCGAUUCCCGGCCGAUGCA
rnacentral:tRNA from 1 species